rnacentral:rRNA from 1 species
GACGAACGCUGGCGGCGUGCUUAACACAUGCAAGUCGAACGGAAAGGCCCUGCUUUUGUGGGGUGCUCGAGUGGCGAACGGGUGAGUAACACGUGAGUAACCUGCCCUUGACUUUGGGAUAACUUCAGGAAACUGGGGCUAAUACCGGAUAGGAGCUCCUGCUGCAUGGUGGGGGUUGGAAAGUUUCGGCGGUUGGGGAUGGACUUGCGGCUUAUCAGCUUGUUGGUGGGGUAGUGGAUUACCAAGGCUUUGACGGGUAGCCGGCCUGAGAGGGUGACCGGCCACAUUGGGACUGAGAUACGGCCCAGACUCCUACGGGAGGCAGCAGUGGGGAAUGUUGCACAAUGGGCUGAAGCCUGAUGCAGCAACGCCGCGUGCGGGAUGACGGCCUUCGGUUUGUAAACCGCUUUCGCCUGUGACGAAGCGUGAGUGACGGUAAUGGGUAAAGAAGCACCGGCUAACUACGUG